rnacentral:tRNA from 1 species
GGUCUCCUGGUGUACUGGUUAGCACGGCCUCUCUUGUAGUGGGCAGAUCUGGGUUCGAAUCCCGGGGAGACGA